UACAGAGGGGGCCAGCGUUAUUCGGAAUUAUUGGGCGUAAAGGGCGCGUAGGCGGCUUUGCGUGUCUUUCGUGAAAUCCCUCGGCUCAACUGAGGACGUGCGGAAGAAACUGCAGGGCUGGAGUCCGGGAGAGGAGGGUGGAAUUCCCAGUGUAGCGGUGAAAUGCGUAGAUAUUGGGAGGAACACCGGUGGCGAAGGCGGUUCUCUGGGCAUUACCUGACGCUGAGGAGCGAAAGUGUGGGGAGCGAACAGG
rnacentral:rRNA from 1 species